CAACCCCCUCCCAUCGAAAUGCACAUUCUAUUUCCUCGGGUAGAUACCAUAUAAAAGAUGUGUGGAUUCACUAAGAGUUGGGCAGCUUCUCUUUGAACAAGCGUGGAAGCACUUCAUGUGCGCUAAUGUCUAGAGGCUCUGGAUCCCUGCAUAGUGUUUGACCCUUCUCACUGAUACUAGGAAUAAACCAUAAUUUUCGCAAGAAAGGGCACUCCAAUUGUACAAAGAAACCAUCAUGUUGCCCAUGCUUCCAUUUCCUUGAUCCUUGACCUUUCC
rnacentral:misc_RNA from 1 species